rnacentral:rRNA from 1 species
UACAGAGGUCUCAAGCGUUGUUCGGAUUCAUUGGGCGUAAAGGGUGUGUAGGUGGCGCGUUAAGUCGGGUGUGAAAUUUCGGAGCUUAACUCCGAAACUGCAUUCGAUACUGGCGUGCUUGAGGACUGGAGAGGAGACUGGAAUUUACGGUGUAGCAGUGAAAUGCGUAGAUAUCGUAAGGAAGACCAGUGGCGAAGGCGAAUCUCUGGACAGUUACUGACACUGAGGCACGAAGGCCAGGGGAGCAAACGGG